rnacentral:rRNA from 1 species
UACGUAGGGACCGAGCGUUGUCCGGAAUCAUUGGGCGUAAAGAGCGUGUAGGCGGCCAAUUAAGUCCUGCGUGAAAUCUCGGGGCUCAACCCCGAGCGGUCGUGGGAAACUGGUUGGCUAGAGUGCGGGAGAGGAGAGUGGAAUUCCUGGUGUAGCGGUGAAAUGCGCAGAGUAUCAGGAAGAACACCCGUGGCGAAGGCGGCAUCCUGGACCGGCAUUGACGCUGAGGCGCGAAAGCUAGGGGAGCAAACGGG